GACGAACGCUGGCGGCGUGCUUAACACAUGCAAGUCGAACGGAAAGGCCCUGCUUUUGUGGGGGGCUCGGGUGGCGAACGGGUGAGUAACACGUGAGUAACCUGCCCUUGACUUUGGGAUAACUUCAGGAAACUGGGGCUAAUACCGGAUAGGAGCUCCUGCUGCAUGGUGGGGGUGGGAAAGUGUCGGCGGUUGGGGAUGGACGCGCGGCUUAUCAGCUUGUUGGUGGGGUAGUGGCUUACCAAGGCUUUGACGGGUAGCCGGCCUGAGAGGGUGACCGGCCACAUUGGGACUGAGAUACGGCCCAGACUCCUACGGGAGGCAGCAGUGGGGAAUAGUGCACAAUGGGCGGAAGCCUGAUGCAGCAACGCCGCGUGCGGGAUGACGGCCUUCGGGUUGUAAACCGCUUUCGCCUGUGACGAAGCGUGAGUGACGGUAAUGGGUAAAGAAGCACCGGCUAACUACGUG
rnacentral:rRNA from 1 species